rnacentral:rRNA from 1 species
AUUGAACGCUGGCGGCAUGCCUUACACAUGCAAGUCGAACGGUAACAGGUCUUCGGAUGCUGACGAGUGGCGAACGGGUGAGUAAUACAUCGGAACGUGCCCGAGAGUGGGGGAUAACGAGGCGAAAGCUUUGCUAAUACCGCAUACGAUCUCAGGAUGAAAGCAGGGGACCGCAAGGCCUUGCGCUCACGGAGCGGCCGAUGGCAGAUUAGGUAGUUGGUGGGAUAAAAGCUUACCAAGCCGACGAUCUGUAGCUGGUCUGAGAGGACGACCAGCCACACUGGGACUGAGACACGGCCCAGACUCCUACGGGAGGCAGCAGUGGGGAAUUUUGGACAAUGGGCGCAAGCCUGAUCCAGCAAUGCCGCGUGCAGGAAGAAGGCCUUCGGGUUGUAAACUGCUUUUGUACGGAACGAAAAGGUCUGGGUUAAUACCCUGGGCUCAUGACGGUACCGUAAGAAUAAGCACCGGCUAACUACGUGCCAGCCGCCGCCGUAACAC